rnacentral:misc_RNA from 1 species
AACUGAUACUACCUGCGGGAACCUGCGGAAGGAUCAUUACCGAGUUUUCAACUCCCUAACCCUUCUGUGAACCUACCUAUCGUUGCUUCGGCGGACUCGCCCCAGCCCGGACGCGGACUGGACCAGCGGCCCGCCGGGGACCUCAAACUCUUGUAUUCCAGCAUCUUCUGAAUACGCCGCAAGGCAAAACAAAUGAAUCAAAACUUUUAGCAAUGGAUCUCUAGAUCGGAAGAGCACACG